AGACGCAGAGAACUGAAACAUCUAAGUACCUGCAGGAAGAGAAAGAAAAUUCGAUUCCCUGAGUAGCGGCGAGCGAAACGGGAAAAGCCCAAACCAACAAGCUUGCUUGUUGGGGUUGUAGGACUCCGAUAUGGUCGUUCUUUCAGAUAGUCGAAUGACUUGGAAAAGUCAGUCAAAGAGGGUAAAAACCCCGUAGACGAAAUGUGGAAGACACCUAGGAGGAUCCUGAGUACGGCGGAACACGAGAAAUUCCGU
rnacentral:rRNA from 1 species